rnacentral:tRNA from 4 species
GGGCCUGUAGCUCAACGGUUAGAGCAGGGGACUCAUAAUCCCUUGGUUGGGGGUUCGAAUCCCUCCGGGCCCACCA